UUGGGCACUCUAAGGAGACUGCCGGUGUUAAACCGGAGGAAGGUGGGGAUGACGUCAAGUCCUCAUGGCCCUUAUAUCCAGGGCUACGCACGUGCUACAAUGGCCGGUACAAAGGGUCGCAAUACCGCGAGGUGGAGCUAAUCCCAAAAAGCCGGUCUCAGUUCGGAUUGGAGUCUGCAACUCGACUCCAUGAAGUCGGAAUCGCUAGUAAUCGCGUAUCAGCGUGACGCGGUGAAUACGUUCCCGGGCCUU
rnacentral:rRNA from 1 species